AAGUCAGCACGGCCCUUACGCCUUGGGCUACACACACGCUACAAUGGGUGGUACAGAGGGAAGCUAAGGAGCGAUCCGGAGCCAAUCCCAAAAAGCCAUCCUCAGUUCGGAUUGCAGGCUGAAACUCGCCUGCAUGAAGUCGGAGCUGCUAGUAACCGCAGGUCAGCAUACUGCGGUGAAUACGUUCUCGGGCCUUGUACACACCGCCCGUCACGUCAUGGAAGCUGGCAACACCUGAAGUCCAUGGGCUAACCUUAGGGAGGCAGUGGCCUAGGGUGGGGCUGGUGACUGGGACGAAGUCGUAACAAGGUAGCUGUAGCGGAAGCUGCGGCUGGAUCACCUCCUU
rnacentral:rRNA from 1 species